AACGAACGCUGGCGGCAUGCCUAACACAUGCAAGUCGAACGAUCCCUUCGGGGAUAGUGGCGCAGGGGUGCGUAACGCGUGGAAACCUGCCUUUAGGUUCGGAAUAACCCAGAGAAUUUUGCGCUAAUACCGGAUAAUGUCAUGGGACCAAAGAUUUAUCGCCAUUGGAUGGGCCCGCGUUGGAUUAGAUAGUUGGUGGGGUAAAGGCCUACCAAGGCGACGAUCCGUAGCUGGUAUGAGAGGAUGAUCAGCCACACUGGGACUGAGACACGGCCCAGACUCCUACGGGAGGCAGCAGUGGGGAAUAUUGGACAAUGGGCGAAAGCCUGAUCCAGCAAUGCCGCGUGAGUGAUGAAGGCCUUAGGGUUGUAAAGCUCUUUUACCCGGGAAGAUAAUGACAGUACCGGGAGAAUAAGCCCCGGCUAACUCCGUG
rnacentral:rRNA from 1 species